rnacentral:rRNA from 1 species
CCUACGGGGGGCAGCAGUGGGGGAUAUUGCACAAUGGGGGAAACCCUGAUGCAGCGACGCCGCGUGGGUGAAGAAGCGCCUCGGCGCGUAAAGCCCUGUCAGCAGGGAAGAAAACGACGGUACCUGAAGAAGAAGCCCCGGCUAACUACGUGCCAGCAGCCGCGGUAAUACGUAGGGGGCAAGCGUUAUCCGGAUUUACGGGGUGUAAAGGGGGCGCAGACGGGGUUGCAAGCCAGGAGUGAAAGCCCGGGGCCCAACCCCGGGACUGCUCUUGGAACUGCGUGGCUAGAGUGCAGGAGGGGCAGGCGGAAUGCCUGGUGUAGCGGUGAAAUGCGUAGAUAUCAGGAGGAACACCGGUGGCGAAGGCGGCCUGCUGGACUGCAACUGACGUUGAGGCCCGAAAGCGUGGGGAGCAAACAGGAUUAGAUACCCUUGUAGUC